GUAAUUUAGUGGCAUAAGAAGUUGAGCUGGCUAUGACUACCUUGAAAAUUCUUCCUUCCUGUGUCUGGGUACUGUGUAGCAUAUCAAAGCAGGAAAGAGCCUGCUACCCUCAGGCUUAUUCCCUAUCCAUGUGGGCGGAUAACACCAAUACCCAUGAAAGAAGGAGAGGAACGUACUGCUCUGGAACAGAACAGUGCAUGCUCUGUAUGAUGCAGAGUACAAGGUAUGGCACAGAUACUAACCAAUCAGAGUGGCUGCAACCUGCCAUUAACAACCAACACACCGUAACAGUGCAGAACGCUGAAAUAGCAGCCUGGCUCGGGACUGUUCAGCAUUUUCUUGUUCUGUUUGUUGGCAUGCCUGUUGUCUGUCUCCCUCCCCUAGAAUAUAAAUGUACCUGCAGCACACGAAGAACUGCCCGAGUAUGACUGUUUCUCCGUAUUUGUUCAGCGGCUGAAUGUUUACAAAACUGUACACAAAAAUCUCAGAUUGGCCUGACGAGAACAGAAAACUGAUAUCAGGGGGUUGAAAAUGAAAAGUAGAGAGAUAGGAUGGGCAAAACAAUGGCCAUCUUUAAAUGUCGAGAUUGUAAAUUUGAACAAUUUUCUGUGAAUAGUGAAGAAUCAAUGGAGAUAUACAAAAAUACAGGAACAGCAAUCAGAUCGUCAGCCUCAUACCUAAAAUCAUUGCUGUGUCCCUAACCCUGAUGAACUGUUACUCGGUGCCAGAUUUCUGGCAUUAGUACUUUGUGUUUUACAUGCAUCACCUCAUUAUGCCCUUGUAACAACUCUAUGAAGUGGAUCCUAUUAUUAUGUUUUUUACAAAUGUGCAACUUAAAGGUCUCCUGUAACCUGUUCAAGGUCACAUAAUUACCAACCACCACACUAUAUGCACACACACACACACACACACACACACAGAUUGAAAUGGUUUUCCUAGAAAAAUUACAUAACAUUUCAAAAUUACCCAUAAUUUCAGCAUGAUACCACUCUUAUAAUUUCUUCAUACUUUCUUUCAUGCUGUUACUCACAUUUUAUAUAGUUGUACUACAACUAUUAUACAAUUUUGUGAUAUGCUCUUUUUUACAUAAUGUUAUCAUGUAAAAAUUCUCUUUUCACAUAAUAUUUAUAAUUAUAAUUUGUAAUGGUUGUUGUUUAGUUCCUUUUCUCUAGUUAAAAUUUUUUUUGCUAUUACAAAUGAUGUUUCAGUAAACAUGUUCUUCUACACAUCAUAUUUACUUUCUGAUUAUUUCUUUUGAAUAAAUUCCCAGUAGUGAUUAGACUGUGUCAGAGAGUAGGAACAUUUCAUAGGUGCUGAAUUGUAUUGCCAAAUUGUUUUGCAAGAGGGUUAUACUAGCUUCUAUUACUUCCAAUAAUUACUAUUUGCCAAUUUUACUAAAAAUCUCAUGAUCAUCAACUAUUACCUAACAAAAAUAAAUGCUAAUAAAACUUUUACCUAAUAAAAAUGAAUGCUACUUUUGACACAUGCAUGUGAAUGUUCAUUACAGCACUAUUCACAAUAGCAAGGACAUGGAAUCAACCUAAAUGCCCAUCAAUGACCGACUGGAUAAAGAAAAUGUGGUACACAUACACCAUGGAAUACUACGCAGCCAUAAAAACGGAUGAGAUCAUGUCUUUUGCAGGAAUCCCAGGAGCUGGGGUCUAUUAUCCUUAACAAAUUAACACAGGAACAGAAAACGAGAUACUGCAUGUUCUCUCUUAUAAGUGGGAGCUAAAUGAUAUGAACUUAUGAACACAAAGAGGAAGCAACAGACGCUAGGGUCGACUUGAGAGUGGAGGGUGGGAGGAGGGAGAGGAGCAGAAAAGAUACCUAUUGGGCACUGGGCUUAAUACUUGGGUGAUGAAAUACUCUGUACAACAAAACCCCAUGGCACAUGUUUACCUAUGUAACAAACCUUCACAUGUAACCCCGAACCUAAAAGUUAGAAUAAAUAAAUAAAUUAAAUAAGUGGUACUUUUCAUUUGCAUUUUUGUUACUAGCUAAUUUAAAUAUUUUUAAAACUAAUGUAUCUCUUCAAACUUAAAUUGUCUGGGCAAAUCUUUGGUCCAUUUAUU
rnacentral:lncRNA from 10 species